rnacentral:rRNA from 1 species
UACGUAGGGUGCAAGCGUUGUCCGGAAUUAUUGGGCGUAAAGAGCUCGUAGGCGGUUUGUCGCGUCUGCUGUGAAAACUCAGGGCUUAACCCUGAGCUAGCAGUGGGUACGGGCAGACUAGAGUGCGGUAGGGGAGACUGGAAUUCCUGGUGUAGCGGUGAAAUGCGCAGAUAUCAGGAGGAACACCGGUGGCGAAGGCGGGUCUCUGGGCCGUAACUGACGCUGAGGAGCGAAAGCAUGGGGAGCGAACAGG